rnacentral:rRNA from 1 species
GAUGAACGCUGGCGGCGUGCCUAAUACAUGCAAGUCGAGCGAACAGAUGAGGAGCUUGCUCCUCUGACGUUAGCGGCGGACGGGUGAGUAACACGUGGAUAACCUACCUAUAAGACUGGGAUAACUUCGGGAAACCGGAGCUAAUACCGGAUAAUAUAUUGAACCGCAUGGUUCAAUAGUGAAAGACGGUUUUGCUGUCACUUAUAGAUGGAUCCGCGCCGCAUUAGCUAGUUGGUAAGGUAACGGCUUACCAAGGCAACGAUGCGUAGCCGACCUGAGAGGGUGAUCGGCCACACAGGAACUGAGACACGGUCCAGACUACUACGGGAGGCAGCAGUAGGGAAUCUUCCGCAAUGGGCGAAAGCCUGACGGAGCAACGCCGCGUGAGUGAUGAAGGUCUUCGGAUCGUAAAACUCUGUUAUUAGGGAAGAACAAAUGUGUAAGUAACUAUGCACGUCUUGACGGUACCUAAUCAGAAAGCCACGGCUAACUACGUG